GACGAACCGUGCGAACGUUGUUCGGAAUCACUGGGCUUAAAGGGCGCGUAGGCGGGUUGCCAAGUCUGUGGUGAAAUCCUUCAGCUUAACUGAAGAACUGCCGCGGAUACUGGCGACCUCGAGGAAGGUAGGGGCAUGUGGAACUGUGCGUGGAGCGGUGAAAUGCGUUGAUAUGCACAGGAACUCCGGUGGCGAAGGCGACGUGCUGGACCUUUUCUGACGCUGAGGCGCGAAAGCCAGGGGAGCAAACGGG
rnacentral:rRNA from 1 species